rnacentral:rRNA from 1 species
GAUGAACGCUGACAGAAUGCUUAACACAUGCAGGUCGAUGGGGAAGUGGUGCUUGCACCAUGGUAACCAUGGCGGACGGGUGAGUAACACGUAAGGAACUUACCUGCGGGACCGGGAUAACAGCAGGAAACUGCUGACAAGACCGGAUAAGGUCAUUAAGCUGCAUAGCUUAGUGAUGAAAGGAGACGCCUGCGGAGAGCCUUGCGUCCUAUUAGCUAGUUGGAGGGGUAACGGCCCACCAAGGCGAAGAUAGGUAGCCGGCCUGAGAGGGUGGACGGCCACAAGGGGACUGAGAUACGGCCCUUACUCCUACGGGAGGCAGCAGUGGGGAAUAUUGGACAAUGGGGGCAACCCUGAUCCAGCAAUUCUGUGUGCACGAAGACGGUUUUCGGAUUGUAAAGUGCUUUCAGCAGGGAAGAAGGAAGUGACGGUACCUGCAGAAGAAGCGACGGCUAAAUACGUG